rnacentral:tRNA from 1 species
UCCCUGGUGGUCCAGUGGUUAGGACUUGGCACUUUCACUGCCGGGGCCCAGGUUCGAUACCUGGUUGGGGAA